rnacentral:lncRNA from 1 species
GGGAAAAUGUGUUUGCUUAAACACUCUGGGCUAUAUUGAAUCCUUAAUGAAAUCAAUAGUUCUGUGCAGAGAUCAAAGAUGAAUGAGAGUCCUGCCUACAUGUUUAAGUUUGAAACUUUUUUGGCUAGAGCAUGGGAUUUGCUGAACUACAUGGAAGAGAUGAAGAGUGGAGUGAGAGUUGGGAAAACUCAUUAUGUGGCAUAUUUGAGCCAGUGGAACAAGUGUGAUGGUGCUCUCUUAUAAAUCAGCUUACUUCUAGGAAAGGAGCUGUAGAUCUAGAAUGGAGGCCUCAGCAACAGGAGCAGCAAUAGUGGCUGAACAACAUGGCUUAUUAUAUAACUAUAUAUGAGAGAUUAGAAACUGUUGACCACUGUAAUAACUUGUUUAUAGCUUUAAAAUUUAUGUAAUAUAUACACAUAUACAUGCAUAUACAUAUAUGUAGACAUAUGUGUAUCUGUCUAAAUUGUACACACCUGUGCACAUAUGUAUAUAUACACACACAUUUAUUUUUCCAAGAUGAAACCUAUUUUUAUUUCAUUUAAAUUAUGCUUAUUGAUACUAGAUACUCAGGAAAUCAAUAUACACAUGCAUAUAAAUUAUAUAUGUACCCCUCACUUUAUACAUAGAGAGAGUGUAU